GGGGGAUAUUGCGCAAUGGGGGCAACCCUGACGCAGCAACGCCGCGUGAAGGAUGAAGGUUUUCGGAUUGUAAACUUCUUUUAUUAAGGACGAAACUUGACGGUACUUAAUGAAUAAGCUCCGGCUAACUACGUGCCAGCAGCCGCGGUAAUACGUAGGGAGCAAGCGUUGUCCGGAUUUACUGGGUGUAAAGGGUGCGUAGGCGGCUUUGCAAGUCAGAUGUGAAAUCUAUGGGCUCAACCCAUAAACUGCAUUUGAAACUGUAGAGCUUGAGUGAAGUAGAGGCAGGCGGAAUUCCCCGUGUAGCGGUGAAAUGCGUAGAGAUGGGGAGGAACACCAGUGGCGAAGGCGGCCUGCUGGGCUUUAACUGACGCUGAGGCACGAAAGCGUGGGUAGCAAACAGGAUUAGAUACCCUGGUAGUCCACGCUGUAAACGAUGAUUACUAGGUGUGGGGGGUCUGACCCCUUCCGUGCCGGAGUUAACACAAUAAGUAAUCCACCUGGGGAGUACGGCCGCAAGGUUGAAACUCAAAGGAAUUGACGGGGGCCCGCACAAGCAGUGGAGUAUGUGGUUUAAUUCGAAGCAACGCGAAGAACCUUACCAGGUCUUGACAUCCAACUAACGAAGUAGAGAUACAUUAGGUGCCCUUCGGGGAAAGUUGAGACAGGUGGUGCAUGGUUGUCGUCAGCUCGUGUCGUGAGAUGUUGGGUUAAGUCCCGCAACGAGCGCAACCCUUGCUAUUAGUUGCUACGCAAGAGCACUCUAAUAGGACUGCCGUUGACAAAACGGAGGAAGGUGGGGACGACGUCAAAUCAUCAUGCCCCUUAUGACCUGGGCUACACACGUACUACAAUGGAUGUUAACAGAGGGAAGCAAGACAGCGAUGUGGAGCAAACCCCUAAAAACAUUCUCAGUUCAGAUUGCAGGCUGCAACCCGCCUGCAUGAAGAUGGAAUUGCUAGUAAUCGCGGAUCAGCACGCCGCGGUGAAUACGUUCCCG
rnacentral:rRNA from 1 species